CACCAUGGAUUCGGGCUACGGGAGCCCCGGACCCCCACCCCCAGUUCCUGCCUCACCCUCAGGCUACCUCGGUGUGCCAGCAGGGGAGCAGCGGGACCGGAUCUCUUUGCAGGCGCGCCAGCAUCCAUCUGUUUACUGCACGUUAAUCCUGAAUUUGGGGGGCGAUCUGUUUGAAAGACGCUAUUCCAAGGUGGCCACCUUAUGUGGUGGCCCAGGGAUGAUGACUCAUGGCUUUGGUUUGGGCAGAUCUGAAAGACCUAUCGCUUAUUUUGUCUACACGGAGGGAAGGUUACAAUAAGCUGAUGUCAUUGUGACGGGCAUUGGUCUGUUCCCGUUCGAAAGAAUUCAUUUUCAGCAGUGGGGGGUAUGUGUUAGAUCUUUGUUUAUCUUGCAGCUGAAUUCUCAGCCAGGUCCAUGGAAUUUUGAGUUGCCAACUUGUGUGCAAUAAUCCAGAGUAUUAAAGAAUUCUUUUUUCUUCUU